GUUAACUAUUUCAAUGUGGUAGUCAGAAAUAAAUUUACAGUUAGAUUUUGAAAUUCUCAAAAGCAUAGAAGUAUUCCUGACUUAAAAAACUACAGGUGAACAGCUGUUAAAUGACGAGCCAGAGAAGGUAGCACGUGAACAACCCAACUACAUGGCUCGCAUUCAAAGUGCUACAAAAUCACUGAUAAAAAACCCGGAAGAACUGAAUCUGCCAACAGUUAGUGUAGAGUUUGACAAUUCCUUGUCAUCUCUUAUUCCAAAACAUGGAGAAUUAUUGGAAGGCGAAAAUGGACUCGACGAUUGCUGUUGUUGUUUCUGUUGCUGUUGGUUGCGAGACAAAAUGGGAUUAAGUGGAAACUACCAGGACCAGAAAACCAAAGCUUACGAUGAGAAAGCAGUAAAACCAUAUUCAGCGCUUUAUAAAUUUCUUUACUUUUCGCUUAAAUAAUACUACUGAAUGCGUCGAGGUUUUACAAUGAGUGAACUUUUAUAAACCGUUCAGUGCUCGAAUUAUUUUGGCACGUAGCUACGUAUACACAGCAAUCGAUAGAAAUCUAGACUAUUGAAAAAUAUCUCUUAUCUGUUCAGGGUUUGAAGGCCUUUGGCCUGAAGUAGUGGAAGGUGUAAACGCUUGAUGUGUAUUCUUGUGCCCAUUUGGUUGUUAUAGUGACUUUAUUUAGAUGCAAAUCUAACGCUACGUCAUCACGGCACAAACCACUAAAUUUUAAUGUGGAAUUAAAAUAAAACAUCGGACAGUUGAAUAUUUAAUUGUAACAUGAACCGUUGAAAUAAAACCGAAA